UACAGAGGUCUCAAGCGUUGUUCGGAUUCAUUGGGCGUAAAGGGUGCGUAGGCGGCGCGGUAAGUCGGGUGUGAAAUCUCGGAGCUUAACUCCGAAACUGCAUUCGAUACUGCCGUGCUUGAGGACUGGAGAGGAGACUGGAAUUUACGGUGUAGCGGUGAAAUGCGUAGAUAUCGUAAGGAAGACCGGUGGCGAAGGCGGUUCUCUGGGCCUUACCUGACGCUGAGGAGCGAAAGCAUGGGGAGCAAACAGG
rnacentral:rRNA from 1 species